GACAGAGGGUGCAAACGUUGUUCGGAAUUACUGGGCGUAAAGCGUCUGUAGGUGGCUUUUUAAGUCUGCCGUCAAAUCCCAGGGCUUAACCCUGGACAGGCGGUGGAAACUACCAAGCUGGAGUACGGUAGGGGCAGAGGGAAUUUCCGGUGGAGCGGUGAAAUGCGUAGAGAUCGGAAAGAACACCAACGGCGAAGGCACUCUGCUGGGCCGACACUGACACUGAGAGACGAAAGCUAGGGGAGCAAAUGGG
rnacentral:rRNA from 1 species